rnacentral:rRNA from 1 species
AGUGGCGAACGGGUGAGUAACACGUUGGUGACCUGCCCCGAAGUGAGGGACAAUCCUGCGAAAGCGGGGCUAAUACCGCAUGUGCUCCAGGGGGUUAGAGGCCCCUGGAGUAAAGCUCCGGCGCUUCGGGAGGGACCUGCGGCCUAUCAGCUAGUUGGUGAGGUAACGGCUCACCAAGGCUAAGACGGGUAGGGGGCGUGAGAGCGUGGCCCCCCACAAUGGAACUGAGACACGGUCCAUACUCCUACGGGAGGCAGCAGUGAGGAAUAUUGCGCAAUGGGGGAAACCCUGACGCAGCAACGCCGCGUGGGUGAUGAAGGCCUUCGGGUCGUAAAACCCUUUUCUGGGGGAAGAGAAAGGACGGUACCUCAGGAAUAAGUCCCGGCUAACUACGUGCCAGCAGCCGCGGUAAAACGUAGGGGCGAGC